rnacentral:rRNA from 1 species
AGUGAACGCUGGCGGCGUGCUUAACACAUGCAAGUCGAACGAGAACGGGCUAUAGCUUGCUAUAGUUGUCAGCUAAGUGGCGCACGGGUGAGUAAUGUAUAGGUAAUAUGCCUCUUACUAAGGGAUAACAAAUGGAAACGUUUGCUAAUACCUUAUACUCCUUAUUAACAGAAGUUAAUAAGGGAAAGAUUUAUUGGUAAGAGAUUAGCCUGUAUUGUAUCAGUUAGUUGGUUGGGUAAUGGCUUACCAAGACUAUGACACAUAACUGGUUUGAGAGGAUGAUCAGUCACACUGGAACUGAGACACGGUCCAGACUCCUACGGGAGGCAGCAGUGGGGAAUAUUGCACAGUGGACGAAAGUCUGAUGCAGCAACGCCGCGUGGAGGAUGACACAUUUCGGUGCGUAAACUCCUUUUAUAUGAGAAGAUAAUGACGGUAUUAUAUGAAUAAGCACCGGCUAACUCCGUGCCAGCCGCCGCGGUAA